AUGAACGCUAGCGACAGGCUUAACACAUGCAAGUCGAGGGGCAGCACAGGUAGCAAUACCGGGUGGCGACCGGCGCACGGGUGAGUAACGCGUAUGCAACUUACCUAUCAGAGGGGGAUAACCCGGCGAAAGUCGGACUAAUACCGCAUGAAGCAGGGGCCCCGCAUGGGGAUAUUUGCUAAAGAUUCAUCGCUGAUAGAUAGGCAUGCGUUCCAUUAGGCAGUUGGCGGGGUAACGGCCCACCAAACCGACGAUGGAUAGGGGUUCUGAGAGGAAGGUCCCCCACAUUGGUACUGAGACACGGACCAAACUCCUACGGGAGGCAGCAGUGAGGAAUAUUGGUCAAUGGCCGAGAGGCUGAACCAGCCAAGUCGCGUGAGGGAUGAAGGUUCUAUGGAUCGUAAACCUCUUUUAUAAGGGAAUAAAGUGCGGGACGUGUCCCGUUUUGUAUGUACCUUAUGAAUAAGGAUCGGCUAACUCCGUGCCAGCAGCCGCGGUAAUACGGAGGAUCCGAGCGUUAUCCGGAUUUAUUGGGUUUAAAGGGUGCGUAGGCGGCCUUUUAAGUCAGCGGUGAAAGUCUGUGGCUCAACCAUAGAAUUGCCGUUGAAACUGGGGGGCUUGAGUAUGUUUGAGGCAGGCGGAAUGCGUGGUGUAGCGGUGAAAUGCAUAGAUAUCACGCAGAACCCCGAUUGCGAAGGCAGCCUGCCAAGCCAUGACUGACGCUGAUGCACGAAAGCGUGGGGAUCAAACAGGAUUAGAUACCCUGGUAGUCCACGCAGUAAACGAUGAUCACUAGCUGUUUGCGAUACACUGUAAGCGGCACAGCGAAAGCGUUAAGUGAUCCACCUGGGGAGUACGCCGGCAACGGUGAAACUCAAAGGAAUUGACGGGGGCCCGCACAAGCGGAGGAACAUGUGGUUUAAUUCGAAGAUACGCGAGGAACCUUACCCGGGUUUGAACGCAUUCGGACCGAGGUGGAAACACCUUUUCUAGCAAUAGCCGUUUGCGAGGUGCUGCAUGGUUGUCGUCAGCUCGUGCCGUGAGGUGUCGGCUUAAGUGCCAUAACGAGCGCAACCCUUGCCACUAGUUACUAACAGGUAAAGCUGAGGACUCUGGUGGGACUGCCAGCGUAAGCUGCGAGGAGGGCGGGGAUGACGUCAAAUCAGCACGGCCCUUACAUCCGGGGCGACACACGUGUUACAAUGGCGUGGACAAAGGGAGGCCACCUGGUGACAGGGAGCGAAUCCCCAAACCACGUCUCAGUUCGGAUCGGAGUCUGCAACCCGACUCCGUGAAGCUGGAUUCGCUAGUAAUCGCGCAUCAGCCAUGGCGCGGUGAAUACGUUCCCGGGCCUUGUACACACCGCCCGUCAAGCCAUGGGAGCCGGGGGUACCUGAAGUCCGUAACCGAAAGGAUCGGCCUAGGGUAAAACUGGUGACUGGGGCU
rnacentral:rRNA from 1 species